rnacentral:lncRNA from 1 species
UUUAAAAACAACAGCACAACAGAAACUUUAUUGUUCACAUUAACAAAACCAGAGUUAAAAAUCAUCCUUGUGGUUACAGAAGGUUUACAGCUCAGUAUGUACAGAAACAAGGCAGCAGACCUUCACAGAGUCAGACAACAACAUGCAGAUCAUCAACCUCCUGAAGAGCAAACAGCAGCUGCUUAUCCACUGACCAAAGACAAAAGAGAGAGCGAGGGAGGGCUGUUUGCCUGAAACAAACAGGAAAUUCCCCUGUGCAUGUUUAAGGUUUUAACAGUUUACUUUCACUCUCAUCUGAUUUCAGACUCAGUCAUUUGUGAGAGGAAUGGUAUAAAUCACGUUGAAAGCUAAUAAAAGUCACAUUUGGAUUUUGGACAAGAUCGUGAUUUGGUUAGAUUAUAACAUUAUUUUCCAGUGUACACGUCUAACUGUGCUCUUCUCAAAAACAGCAUUAUUUAAACCUCUGAUUGUUCUGUUGCUCUUCUCUCACUUUUACAAACUUUUGACACUUUGAAUUUGAGCUUAAACCUGUGAACCAAGCAUGCAGGUGCAGCUAUAUCACAUAACAAAAAAACAUGAUAAAAUAGUGAUAUGGGUUAUUUGACAGCCCUCGUUUAAAUCGUUGUUUUUUUUUAAAUUAGUAUUAUUGUUUGUAUUUUAUGUGGGGAAAAAAAAUUAAAUUUACUGUUAUAUUUAACAGUGAAACUACUAAAUCAUAAAAAUAUAGAAAACUGAACCAAAUCACAAAACCUCUGUCGGCUUUAUAACUCAUUAUUAAACCCUGUUUUCCCUCAGAUUAAAGGGCUAUUUCACUUUUCUUUUCAGUUACAUUACAGUGCCGUUGAAAUGAAAUAUCUUUCUGAGAUUAUGAUUUCUCUGAGUAACAAUAAAUAAAAUCAGUUUUCAAUAAACUUUUCCAUCAGCUGACUGCCAAACUUCUGUAAAACACAUCUUUCAAAUAAAGUAAUACUGUAUAUUAUAUUAAUGUCAUUUUAAUCUUUUAUUUCUGUGCUUAAUAUCACUUUCAUUGUUAUAUAUCACAAAGAUUCACAUCUUCAGUUUACAAACAGACAAUAAUCUUCUUCCUCAUGUCAUAAAUACCUCUUAUAUUUCUUAUUUGUUUGUAUUUUCUUUCUGGUUUUCUGAAGCCAUAAUUCACCUGGAUAGAAAAAUUAUAACAUCAUAUCUUUUGAUAAAGCUCUCUCUGAUAUGUUAACGUUGUAUGACUCCUCACAGACUGAUGAAUAUUUAAUUUCUGCACAUUAAAAUGACUAAAUUGUAAAAAUAUAGAUAUUAAGGUAGAAUCAAUCUCUGCGAAUGAAGGUCUUUGUACCCUCGGGAAAGUCUUCACCCAAAAAAUCUGAUUUCUUUUUUUUUUUUUAAGUGUCGUAAAAAAAACCUUCCAACAUCAAUAAUAAUAAAAUGAAAUGAAAUGAAAUGAAAUUAAAAGUCAUCAAUCAAGGUGAAAUUGAAAGAUUUAAUUGAAUUUAAAAAGUGAGCUAGAUCAGAGGAGUUUGUCCAAACAGUUGUGAGGUGCAUUGCCAUUAUCUGUAAUUACUGGAAUUAUUGGGGGUAACCAGCAGGGGACAGUCUCCAUUAUUUGACAUCUUUUCGAAGCUGCUUUGAUCUCUUCCCUCCAUGGUGAAAUAUGGCUUCAUUAUGCUAAAUUCACAUCUCUAAAGUCUGCAGGUUUCACACAGAAUAUAACACGAAGCAAGAAUGUUUGUACAGGAGAGAUUAGGCUGAAGUCAUGUGACUGUUUACACCAAACUGUGAUGAGUUUUAGUGAUAUUGCAUGACGCUGCUGCUUUAAAUAUUACAUUCAUUAAGUCUCUGAGUUAAAUGCUACUGCUUUGCAUCAGUGUGUGUGUCGUAAUUUGUGUAAAUAAAGGUUUGGAGUGAAAAAGUGGAGGGUAAACAGCUGUUUUUCAGGUUUUAUCUCCACCUCCUGCGUGUUUCUCUGCUGCAGCAGGAUGUCCGUGAUUAAUGAGUCUGAUUUAAGGUCAGACCCUGAACUUUGCUGACGUGUCCUUCAGUAAAACUCUGAAUCCCAAACAGCUGCUGGAACAGUGUGCUGCUGAUGACCUUUGACCCUGGGUGUGGAGGAGAAAUUGUUGGUCUGCAGAGGAUUCAGAAUCACUUCUCAUGCAGAUCUGAUCUGUUUGCUUUAAAUACCGCAUUUGUGUGCACCCUCCAUUUCCUGCAGGCUUGGUGUAAAGCCGAGAUUACUGCUGGAAGUGAAAAGGACAGAUGUACGCAGGUGUUGUGAAAACAAGGUUAAUUACUGCAGCCGGGUUCUACAAAGACGGUGACAAAAAGCUGAAAGGGAGAUCCUCCAGGAAGCUGAAAACAUCAAUUAAACCCAACCAAACAUUUAGACCUGAAAUCUGUGGAUCGUGUCCGAUGAACAGAUUCAGAGAAAACCUGCGAUUUUACUUCUACUGGAUCUGUAAACCAGCUGCAGACUAGAGCUGCUAUGAUAUCCCAGUGUAGAAAAUAACCGUUUUUUAGAAUAAAUAAGUUGUUUAUGUCGUGCUAAAAUACCGCUAGUUUAGUCCUGGAUGCUGGUUACUACACAUAAAAAAAUCUGAGGAUAGACGAACUGAAGUGCCGCUGCAGCUCCUGUUUAAUCAGUGAAACUUUUCCCUCAGUCUGCUUCACAGCUUCAGAUAAUUCAGAUAUUAAGAAGGAAGAAAUCUGUCCUUUCUUUGCUCCUCGGGUUCAAAUUUAAUUUUCAGUCUUUGGGGAGGCAUCUGCAGGUUUCUGCAUCCUCCCCGUGUCCUCACAAGGACUUUCCAUGACAUCUGAGACCAGCAGUGGCCGAUAUAGUCUAUUUCUAUGGUAACAGAGUCCUCCUGAUGCAGACAGAAUAAAGAUUGAUUUUCUGCGUCUUUGUCGGAGGGGCUGGUGUGUGUUCAUGACAUUCAAACAUGUCACUGUGGCGCAGAAACAAGUUUUAAUACGGUCAGACUCAAAUGUCCUUCCUGUGAUCCCCUACACUCAGGACUCUCAUUCAGGGCUUCCUCUGAAGGACUUCAGCUCGCUAUAUUCACUUCAGUUUAAGGAGUCAUAUAAUCUAGAUAUAAACGUUAAUAAGUAAGAGUGCGCACAAAACUCUGUUUUUAUCUGCAGAAGUUUGAAGGAAGAUGUCUCCUAAACUUUAAAACCUGUGCCCUAAAAGUAGAGGGGAGACCGGGGUCAUUUGUAACAUAUCAUUUUCAUCAUAACUGAAGUUGGACUUUGUUUGGUGAAGGAAAGAUUCAUCAUACCUGGCAGACCCGAACGGCCAUGAAACAGUGAUAAUUUUUCCAUAGUGUCAAAUUAAAACUGCUACAUGGAUUGGUGAAUUCAGCCAAAGUUGUAACAUUAAAUCUAAAGACUUUAAACUCCCCUCAUCACCUCAGAGGCCUUCUUCAUUUUCAUUAAUGUAAUCUUUGAUCUCUGACCUGAUUCUGUCCACCUGAGCGUAAAACUUCACUCACUUUAAAACCUCUCAGACCCUUUUUCUUUCCGCUUCUGUGAGCCCGACCUGUGUGAAGUGAACCAGCAAGAGAAAUCAUCUCUUCAUCCUGUUUCUGCAGACUCUAAUCUCUCCCUCUCUCAGGUCUGUCUGCAGGAAAAACCCUCAGAGAGCUUUAUUCCCACUCCUUUAAACCUCACACUGGGCUGUUUAUUCCCUGGAUUCUGUCCGUUUCAACCUGAAUGUGCUGUUUAAGUAUUUAUCUUCAUGCAGAGUCACUCCCUGUCCUCUCCUCCUGCAAGAUGAGAGUCCACCUCUUCAGAAAUCUCCUCACGUCUCAGCUGCUCUCCAUCAGCUCUCCCUCAGCUCCUCUCUCCGACUCUGUUUACCUCUUUUUCUCUCUGAAAUCCCAGCUCAGUCUGAACGUGUCUAUGACGUUUGUAUCUCUGGAUGAUUCUUUAUUACUGUUCAGUCUGUGAUCCACCUCUCUGUACUUGCUGCAGCUCUCUGACAAGUUUUCUCCUUAAGACACGUUCUGCAGCUCGCUCGGGUUCACUGCUCGUUCACGUCACUUUGGAUUUGCUGAGUCAGAAAACACAAAUGUGUGUCAGACUGGGUGGAGCUGCAGCGGAGUGCUGAAUGUGCAAACAUCAGUGAUCACAUGAUCCGGCGGUCUGAGUUACACUGAUUUAUUGAUGAAUGGAGCAAAAAGAUGCUCAGUGUACUUCAAAAACACGCAGAUCAGAAGCAGAACCGAGUCUGGAUCUGACUCUAUGGAUCUAUGGGAGCUUUAAACUCACUCCUAUUAAAGGUCAAUUUCCGAUAUUUUUUCUAAUAUUUCCUCCUCUCUCAGCGUCACCUGAAGUGGCUGCAGGUUCACCUGUAUUUGCUAAAGGACACAUCAGCAGAGACAGGAUUGAACUGUGAUGGUUUGUUUACAGGACAGCACAUCCUGCUGUAUUUACACAGAUCAGUUAUGACGUUUUUGAAAAAAAAUUUUUUUGCUUUUAAAAUCACCUCAGAGUAAGAAAAAAAACCUUCAAAGGGAAAAUUAUUUUCUAUCUCUUUGAGUUUAAUGUGCUCACAUUAUUCGUGUUUUACAAUCAUUCUCACAAAAGUUUUCUCUUUAUGUGCUAAACUUUAACAUUUGGUACAAAUAUUGUCCAGAAAAAUAAUCUGAAUGUAGUAUGAGGCUCUUGUGAAAUGCAGUUUUUCUUCAGGGAAACGAAAUCUUUAAAGCUCCUGUGAGGAAGUUUUAGUUUGUGGUGAUUUUGGUGCCUCCUGUGGACAGACCAGUCUUUGCUUAUCUUGUCCUCUACAUGAUGGGUGUUGUCUGAUGACCUUUGACAGUCAAAUGUGUCAGUAUUAAUGUAGAAAAACUAAAAACUGGCUUUUUCUGUGUCUACUCUGACACUAACCCCGUUGCACCAUCUCAGGUUUUAAAAUGACGAUAUUGAAAUGAUCCGUUUUGUGAUGAUGGUCUCGUUUACUUUUGUAAGUCACAGAAAAGCUUCAAUAUGUAUUCCAUAGACAUUAGGAAACUCCUCAUAGGAGCUUUAAGUGGUCUCAGGAGAUACGCCGAUCAGCCCUAACAUCAUGACCCCAGACAAGUGAAGCAUUUUGUUACCAAAGAUGAGAAGUUGAAGUCAGAAAACAGUAAGUGACUAAACCAUGAUGGUCAGACCGGACCAGGAACACUGCUAGAACUGUAGAUCUAGCAGAGUGUUCCUGGUCUGCAGGAUAUAAAGUAAGGCAAAUCUAAAGCAGACACAUUAUAUCCAUUAAGAUACAUGGCUUACUCUAAACCUAGAAAAGCUUGAUGCUCAUCCUCAAGUUUUUUGUGAUCCAUCUUACUAUGUCAGUUCUACACAGCAUCAUUCACACACAGCAGCUGAGCCACUAACAGUCCGACUCACUGAAGGCUCCCCGGGUCAGUCCGGAUACUGUCUGCUGCCACAGUGCUGCAGUCCCUCAGUGAAGUGAAGUCCCUGUGUCAGGUACAAGGGCGAUCUUUGGAUGCCAAAAGAUGAGGGCACUUUCACUGCUGUCUCCUUACACACCUGCACUGCCCAAAAACUCCAGACCAAGACCACCACCAAUCCUCAGGUCUCCUCAGAUACUGCAGAGGUCUAAUGGAGCGAUCAGGAUCUGGUGAGAUCAGGACUGUUUUUGGCCUGAAGUGAUGGGGCAAACACAUUAUUCCAAUAGGUAGUCAGAAUAUUCUGGCUGAUCUGCGUAUUUGGUAGUUCUUUGUUUUUUCACUAGUGCUUGGGCUAAUUUACAGAUAUUUAAUUCUGUCAGUUGUUUUUUUUUUAAGAUAUAUUUCUGAAAGCCAAAAAUAGUGUGAAGUCAGUAACAGACUAAAAAACAAAACUUAAUUUUCUGAAUGUUGUCGCCUCCUUCGGUUUUCACAAACGUAUUUUGUCUGUUUUAAACAAAGUAAAGCUGACGUUUCAAAGCUGCAGAAGAAAAAAAAACACAAAGGUGUUUGCAGUUUUGCAUACCUGUGUUGCGUAUUUGGUUUGUGAGCUUCUGCUGGUCGUUUACAUCCGACACAUCUACAUGAAUAUUUACAGAGUAUUCAUAUGGAGGAGUAAAAACGUGAUACAUAUCUAAUUUACAGCUUCAAUGUUUGUGUUGAUGUACAGAGGCACCAACUAAGUGUGUGUGUGUGUGUGUGUGUGUGUGUGUGUGUGUGUGUGUGUGUGUGUGUGUGUGUGUGUGUAGCUACAUUGCCCUUGGCUAAUUGGCUCACUAUACAGACCUUCAUACGUUAGCAUAUUAAUAACAAUAUUUGCGUUUACACAAUUUACAGUGUGUGUUUACUCAUUAAGGCAUAUAGUAUCCUUACAUGACAUAAAUAACAUGUUUACAUAUCAUACACAGAAGGGGGCGCUGUGGCAUUAAAGGUUCAGCCCACUGCUCCAGAAACAGAGACCAAGACGUCAUUUCAACCUUUGUUUUUACACUAAGUUUGCUGUUUUUUGUCUUCCAUCAUCUGUGAGAGUAAAGCGGCACAUUCCUGACGAAUCUCAUGAUGGCAUAUGAGUUUCACAUGCAGGGAUGUAGAAAAGCCCUGCACGUAGUUUCAUCAAAGGGUGAAAGUUUGUUGCUGCAGAUGUUGCUGCAGAAGUGCUCGCAAGGUUCAAACGUGUACAGCUAUUCGAUUUGCUCGUGCAAACAUCCUAAAGCCUGAGAGUGAAUCUCAAAUCCUUUUGCAAGAUUUCUCAGGGACACAGUGCCAAAUGAUAAUUCACCAAAUCUUUAAGGGUUUCUAUCGACUUUCAUCUGGAUAAAAGCAGGAAAUCUCUACAGCUGAUGCAGCGACAAGCUCAAUUAGUUUUAUCAGACAUUUAAAGGGUUAUUCCGGCAAACCUCAGCCUUACUUUUACACAUUUUGGGCCUUAAAUGACCUCAAAGGAAGAAUGUGAGGUAAGGGAUUCAUGCUGAUAUCUGAUAUUCAGAUAUUUUUAGGCUCAUCUUGGCUUAUGCUGAUAUUGAUCUGAGUAGGGGAGACCAGGGAUGGGUGUCUCAUUUUUACUCUUGAGUGAAUUAUUGAAUCAAUGAGUGAAACAAACUAAACAGGUAGACCAACAACUCCCAUGAGCUCAAAUCAGUGCGGUGGCUGGAAAACAUCUUCCUUUCACCACAAAAGCUCUUUUUCAUGAACUUUUUGAGGACAAACUUUGAUUUUUGCAGCAGCUGUUACAGCUGCGGGACGAUCUCUUCUACAGCCAACACUAACAAUCUUCUCAUUUACACCCAAACAUGUGAAAAACAAAAAGAGCCCAGGUUUAAAAACAGCAGAAUUCCCCUUUAACAUGUUGAGCAUCAGAUAAAUAUGAUGGUAAUUUGUCUUUCAGGAGCUGCGGCUGAUGUAGUUUUACUGUCAGUGUAAAGAUUUCCUCUCAGUGAUGUGAGCUGAAACUGUCUUAGAUGCUGAAACUUUAAAUAAAGGAUAUUCAACAUGAAGUCUGACUUUAUAGUAUAACUGGAAGCAACAUUUAUGCAUAUGUGACAUUUACAGCCUCAACCACCAGCAGGGAAAAACGUCACUGUCAUCACCAUCAUCAUUGUUGUUUUUUUCCCUCUUUUGCGGAAUUGAACGUCUUCUGUAUCCGUCUGAGGAUUCAACCUCUUUCAAAUCCCUGAAAAAAAGCUCAUGUUACAGCGGAUUUUAAUUCUUUCCUCUAAAAUAUCCACUGAAUCAAUUUGCAGCAGAAAAGCAGAAACAAAGUCUUAGAAUCCUGGGAGUGUUGAAGAGGAAACAAACAGAGAAUUCAGAGAGGAACUUUAGGAGGUGACUGCAGAGUCAGAUAAAGGUGCAGAAAAGCUCUGUGACUGCUGAUGCAAAGCUUUCUGGGUAAUCUGACUCAGUGAUUCAUUUCAGUUCAACUCCUCCCUCUCUUUCGGGUCCCCUUUGAUUUCUUAACACCACUUUUGAGUUAUUUUAGCUGAGAACAAACAGGCUUUAAAUUUGUGUUUAAGUAUUAAAGCUGCACUACGCAGUUUUUGGCCACUAGGAGGCUCAAUGCACAACCUAAAAGGUCAUUCGUAGGCAGAGUUACACUUUUUCUAGAGGCCAGUGAUUUACCUGUAAAGCAUUUUAAAAAUGUAGGCAUUGAUGAUGAAUGUUGAUGUAAUUUGAACAGUCAAAAACAAAGGGUUUCAUUAUAACAACAGCUAAUGGGACAAUAACAAAUGUUUAAAGGGGAGCUACUAAGCUGUGAAAACAGUAACACCCAAAGAUUGUUUAUGACUGUAUAUCAUUGUUUUAGUUGUAGGUUUACAGGGUUAACUUUGUGUGCUCUUCUCUGGUGGGUUUGGUUGCAAACGUCACAUACAGGUUAACUUCACUCUCAGAAAUGUUGCUCUGAUUAUUCUGACAGCUAGCAUCACAUUUUCCAUCAUACUCAUUCAGAAAUCAGAGUCUCUUGUCUUUUUAUCGUCCAUAUUUUCACCAACUCAGCAGCAGGUCAAACUCUGAUCAUCUAAUUGCUUCUGUUAAUGUCACCUGAUGGACGAGCGCAAAUGUGACUCUAUAAAUAAGUUUAAAUUCUGUUUUCUGCAGCAGCGAUCAGCCUCCUGGGCUGUCGAACACAAUGUGCUUUCACUGUUAAACUCUGAUUUACAUACUUAUCUUCAUAUACUUUGACUGUAAUCUUUGAUAAACAACCAUUCACUAUCUAAAUGUGCUCUAGUGUUUCCUUACCUCUCCUGCACCAAACUCUCUUUAGUUCAGUGGUACAUCCAUUAUGAUUGGUCAGAAUAAAUAUCCACGUGCUCGCUCCAGCACAGAACGUUGUGCUCAGCAUGUGCUCCUCCUGUCAGCACAAACAGGGGACCUGCACCAUUUUGCAUCCCCAAU